rnacentral:rRNA from 1 species
UACGGAAGGCAGCAGUGGGGAAUAUUGCACAAUGGGCGCAAGCCUGAUGCAGCCAUGCCGCGUGUAUGAAGAAGGCCUUCGGGUUGUAAAGUACUUUCAGUCGUGAGGAAGGUGUUAAGGUUAAUAACCUUAGCAAUUGACGUUAGCGACAGAAGAAGCACCGGCUAACUCCGUGCCAGCAGCCGCGGUAAUACGGAGGGUGCGAGCGUUAAUCGGAAUUACUGGGCGUAAAGGGCACGCAGGCGGUUAAUUAAGUUGGAUGUGAAAUCCCCGGGCUUAACCUGGGAAUGGCAUUCAAGACUGGUUAGCUAGAGUCUUGUAGAGGGGGUAGAAUUCCAUGUGUAGCGGUGAAAUGCGUAGAGAUGUGGAGGAAUACCGGUGGCGAAGGCGGCCCCUGGACAAAGACUGACGCUCAUGUGCGAAAGCGUGGGGAGCAAACGAGGGAUUAGACUACC